CCAGGUGGAGCCACUGAAGCCGGAGCAUGCCGGGCAGGGGUCAGGCCCUGGCGGGGCGAGGGGGCCUCCUUGGCUCCUUGUCGCCGGAUGCCCGUCCUCGUUCUCAUCUUCCCGCCUGCUGCCACGCCUUUCCGUGGGGUCCCGAUAUUUUCCUUUCUGCUUCUACUCACUGAAGCUGGUUCGUCGCCAGGGUCGGCCGCGUGCCCGCCUUGGGUGCUCCCACAGCCCGGGAGGUGCAGCUGCGUCCCCAGACCCUCGCGGGGGUCUCCAGCUGUAGGCAGCCCUUGGGCAGGAGGGGCUUUUGCCUGUUCAGGCCACCCCGGCUUCCCUGGCCUGUGGGUCCAGUCUCCUCUGGGCUCCUGACUACCCAGUGUGGCUGCUUCUCCCGGGUGGGAGAGACACUGCGAGGACCUUAUCCCUCCCCAUCACCACCCUGGCAAAGUCAAGCCUCUUUUUAUUUUUUAUAAGUUUUUACUGUAGCUAUGGGGUCUCGCCAUGUUACCCGCGCUGGUCUGAACUCCUGGGCUCAAGUGAUCCUUCUUCGUUGGCCUCCCAAAGUGCUAGCAUUAUAGAUGUUGAAGAAGCCUCAGCGGAGGCGAUACGGCCUUCUCGCCAACACUGAGGACCCCACGGAGAUGGCCUCGCUGGACAGCGACGAGGAGACGGUCUUUGAGUCCCGGAAUCUGAGAUGAUGCUGAGCCAGGGAGGCGGCCCUUCCAGCAGCCAUGAGGGAAGGACAGGAGAUGGGGCC
rnacentral:sRNA from 1 species